rnacentral:rRNA from 1 species
GAUGAACGCUGGCGGCGUGCCUAAUACAUGCAAGUCGAGCGAACAGAUGAGGAGCUUGCUCCUCUGACGUUAGCGGCGGACGGGUGAGUAACACGUGGAUAACCUACCUAUAAGACUGGGAUAACUUCGGGAAACCGGAGCUAAUACCGGAUAAUAUAUUGAACCGCAUGGUUCAAUAGUGAAAGACGGUUUUGCUGUCACUUGUAGAUGGAUCCGCGCCGCAUUAGCUAGUUGGUAAGGUAAAGGCUUACCAAGGCAACGAUGCGUAGCCGACCUGAGAGGGUGAUCGGCCACACUGGAACUGAGACACGGUCCAGACUCCUACGGGAGGCAGCAGUAGGGAAUCUUCCGCAAUGGGCGAAAGACUGACGGAGCAACGCCGCGUGAGUGAUGAAGGUCUUCGGAUCGUAAAACUCUGUUAUUAGGGAAGAACAAAUGUGUAAGUAACUAUGCACGUCUUGACGGUACCUAAUCAGAAAGCCACGGCUAACUACGUG